GACGAACGCUGGCGGCGUGCCUAAUACAUGCAAGUAGAACGCUGAAGCUUGGUGCUUGCACCGAGCGGAUGAGUUGCGAACGGGUGAGUAACGCGUAGGUAACCUGCCUGGUAGCGGGGGAUAACUAUUGGAAACGAUAGCUAAUACCGCAUAAGAGUAGAUGUUGCAUGACAUUUGCUUAAAAGGUGCAAUUGCAUCACUACCAGAUGGACCUGCGUUGUAUUAGCUAGUUGGUGAGGUAACGGCUCACCAAGGCAACGAUACAUAGCCGGCCUGAGAGGGUGAUCGGCCACACUGGGACUGAGACACGGCCCAGACUCCUACGGGAGGCAGCAGUAGGGAAUCUUCGGCAAUGGACGGAAGUCUGACCGAGCAACGCCGCGUGAGUGAAGAAGGUUUUCGGAUCGUAAAGCUCUGUUGUAAGAGAAGAACGAGUGUGAGAGUGGAAAGUUCACACUGUGACGGUAUCUUACCAGAAAGGGACGGCUAACUACGUG
rnacentral:rRNA from 1 species